GAUUGCAGAGAUGCCUCCAUAAAAUUCAAGCUCAACAGAUUGCAGGUUUUUCUCAGUCGAGAAAAUUAUUUGGGUGUCAAUACACCUGCUGAGCUGAUAAGUU